rnacentral:tRNA from 1 species
ACCUGGCUGGCUCAGUCGGUAGAGCAUAUGACUCUUGAUCUUAGGGUUGUGAGUUCAAGCCUAUGUUGGGUA